AUGGCUCCCCAAGCGCCUGGGCCCCUCCCUCCGGGGGCCUACGAGGCAGGGAGUGAGCUGCCAUUCGGAAGACCGGCGCUCCCUGCCCGUGGCUCCCUGUGCGCCAGGGGCCCUCCCUCUGGGGCCUACGAGGCAGGAAGUGAGCCAGCCGGAAGACCGGCGCUCCCCGCCCAUGGCUCCCUGUGCACUGGAGACCCUCCCUCCGGGGGCCUACAAGGCAGGAAGCCAGCCAGCCAGCCGGAAGAUCAGUGCUCCCCGUCUGUGGCUCCUCGUGCGCCAGAGGCCCUCCCUCUGGGGGCCUAUGAGGCAGGAAGCGAGCCGCCUGUUGGAAGACCAGCGCUCCCCGCCUGUGGCUUCCCGUGCACCGGGCUUAAAAGUAUUUUAAAGGAACAUUGAAUAAGAAGCAUUUAGAGAGCUUUUCUGCUGGCCACAAAAGGAUAAAGACCUUCGGCUGCCAGGUGUCUCCCCAGGAGCAAUACGUUGAGUAGAACUGUGAAGGUACACGGCAAGUGUCAAUAUGUGGAUGAACGAUGGCUUUUGACUUUCUUUUUGUGAGCUGCUUUUGGACUGCAGGAUCCUGAACAGGCAACUUCCGAUAAACCAGAACUGACAGAUAAUAAACAUAUAGCUAGGACUGAAGUAGCAGAAAUCGAUGCAUUUCAAGUUCCUCAUAAGAGAAAGCAGGCAGGGUGUUUCAAGUCCUUUUAGAAUGAUGAAUGCAAUUUAUACAACAAGUAAGAAAGCAUGAUUGGGAAUAGAUAGUGUAAGAUCCCAUCUAGGAGAUGGAAAAGAGGUGUCUGAUGUAGGUGAUGUUGCUCACCUGAGAAACUGCCAACAAAAUCAGUUCUGAAAGUUGUAAAAAAAAAAAAAAAAAAAAAAAAAGAAACAAAAAGACUAAACAAUAAAAUGAAUUUGUGAAUAUCAGCCAAAGAAACAGGAAAAGGCGGGUUUUGUGUUGAUCCUCAUCACUUUCAUAAUGGAGACAGAGCCCCACCUGACUGUACACAGACUAUUUCGAAUGGUUCUGCCUUGCUUUUCUAAUUGAAGUAGAAUCAAAUGAUAAUCAGAGCUACAGAUUCAGACAGACACUUAGUUUUUGUUUUUCUAGUAAGAGUCUGUGUGUUUCUGGGGAGCUUUCCCUAAGUCAUUGUCAAAUCUCCUAGUUGUUACAGUUAAUCUGAAUGGUGCAGCCCCCUGUUGGGAGCCCUUGGGAGCCACAAAAUAAACUCGGUGAAGUUUUUGAUGACAUCCGUUACAAAAAAGGCCUCAUGUGCCUCUCAACCCUUAAGGUCUGUACAUUUCGAUGAUCUUAUAGCAGGUGAUAGGAGUUAAGGGUGAGGUCCCUCUUCCCCUUCCAAAAUAUCCAUGCUCUUGUUGGGAGCGCUGCUGCCCCUACCUUCUUUGGCAGAGAGAGAUUUUCAGAGGCAAUGGGAUGUCCUGUGGUCCAAGAUCUGGGCUUCGGAGUGACCAGAUAGACAGCCUCUGUGUAGGGUUCUGGACUCACCUCUGCGCUCAGCCACUCAGUGACAUUGGGUGAGCUACUAACCUCUCUGAAAGCAUUGUCUAUAGCAUGCUCCUUCAGAGCACGGCUGUGAGCCUGCCAUAGGAUGAUGCACAGGGUACACCCAGGAGGGUCUGCUCAUGCUCAGAACUCAACAGAAGUUAAUCUGAGAAAGUGAUUUCAUCAAUCUAAGCUUCCCUUCCUCACUCUGAAAUUGGCAUAGUAAACCCUCACCGUGGAAUUCUCUGCAAAGUUAGAGCUGGUGUAGGUAGAGACUCUCUUGCAGAGCCCCUGGAUGGUGGCCAGUGUCCCUGAGCCUACAAACCCCUCCUGAGGUUAGAACUGCAAAGGAUUCAGCAGCAUAAGGGUUGGUUUCAGAAAACAGUGGCGUGGAGAUGAGUUAGGCUGAGCACAUAAAAUCUUUCUUUAAUCAUUUUACCUACUUGCACUCUUUGAGUUGAUGCAUCCCUAGUUCACCUGGCUCCAGGCUGAGGCUCAAUCCCCAAAAGUAGCUCAUCACGAUUGCCUUGUUUAGUGGUUUCCAGGCCCAGGUGCUCCCCUCACUUAACAGCUAACAGGGAAAAUGUUUUGGACAAAGUGCCACUACCCAUCUUACUUUUUGCUCCUUUAUUGCAUAAAAAAUAUUGAGAAUUUAUCAUGUGAGGACUGAAAACUGGUCUGGUAUAAUCCAUUGUUCCAAGUAACUGUUGUUUUAUUUUUAAAAACAAAACAGCCUAAAAUUUAAAAGUUUAAAACAUGCGUAACAAUUUUAUUAUCUCUCACAGUUCCUUGACAGGAGUUUGGGAAGGUUCAGCUGAGUAGUUCUGGCUCUGGGGCACUCAUGUGCUUGUAGUCAGAUGGGGCUAGAAAUGAUAGAGCCCCAGAGCAGCCAGGACUGGCUCUUUGGGUGGGAUAGUUUGGUUUUCUCACAGCAUGGCAGCCUCAUGGUAACUGAGAGGGCUCAUGUCACGGCUUAGACUCCAGCUUAGCUGUUCCAGAGAACCAGGAAGAAACUGCAUUGCCCAGCAUCAGAAGUAGGACUGACUUCGUAAUUUAUGCAAAAUGAAAAUAUGGGUCCCUUGUUAAGAAAUUAUCAAGAAUUUUAAGACUGCAAUAGUCUUACAUUUAACCAAGCAUAGGGCACUCUGAGCCGUAGGUCCCUCUGUGAUUUCAUGGGUUCUAAGCCACAUAGUGUCACACUGAUCAUAUACUAUUAGUCAACCAAUCACUCAUGUCAACUCGUAGUUAAGGGGAGGGGACACAGAAUCCACCUUUUGAUGAAAAGAUUAUUAAAGCAUUUUCCAGAUAAUCUAAUGAAAUCUACACAUCCAGAUUCCUCUCUAAUCUUCUGUGUUCUGCUGGUUAUUUGCUAAAUUUUACACAAAUUUUAUUUCAUAUGGAUUAUCAUUUCCUUAAAUUUGAAGCCCUUAAUCCUAUUUGUAGAUUGCUUUUUCAGUUUUUCUUUUGAGGUCAGCAAAUACUUAGAUUUUUUUCUUCAGUACUGAGGAUUGAAUCCAGGGCCUUCACAUUGAACUACAUGGCUAGCCCUUUUUUAUUUUGCGACAAGGUCUUGCUAAGUCACUAAGUUGCCCAGGGUGUGCUUGAACUAGUGAUCCUCCUGCUUCAGCCUCCUAGAAUCCUGGGAUUACAGGUGUGUGCUGUUUCUGCUUUUCACUGACCCUGUGGUGUAUGGCACAUGCCUAAGGGUUCUGUCCCUUUCUGUCUAACAUAAGCCAUAGCAGAAGGAAGGGUUGAAUUCAUUAAUUCCUCAAGAAGGAAAUAUAAUUUCUUGAGUGGGGGGGUCAAGUUUAGUAGAAAAGAUUAUGUGUUCCAUCCCUGAUGCUUCUUGGACACCUGUGUGAACAGUGCCCUGUAUUUGGACACAUUGAACAUCUGUCUGUUGCAGCUGAGGGUUCUUCUAACUAGUCCUCAUUAUCAUAUGGCCUUCAUUAAGAUCUUUCAACUUAUUUUAUUCUAUGCAGGCCACUGAGUUUCUAACUUACAAAUUAGAAGUUAACUAGCUCCUUUAUGUCUCUUUAAGUUUACAUGACACUAAAUUCAGAUCAGAUAUUUACUAAUAUGUUUAUGUCUCUUUAAGUUUAGGUGGUACUUUCAGUUAUAUUACUGUUGUAAUGAGGGAUUGCAAGGGGAACAGUACAGGACACCUAAUUUAUAGGAUUAUUUUAUACUAGUCACCCAAAGAAUCAUGUACGAAGGAGUACAGUGAACCUGUCCAUACAGUAAAGACCAAAGAAUCCAGCUGAGGGCCUGAGUCCCAUGGCAGUGUCCUUCAUGAGUCCCUCUGAAGACCUAGAGCCUGUAACAGUGCUGCCCACAAGUCCAGCCGGAGGCCAAGAGCCCACAGUAAUGUCUCAUGCAAGUCUGUUUCAUGGAUCCAUGCUGGGAAGGCCCAAAGGUCAGUGGUGGAAUUUAGAAAGUCUGUGCCAGAGGGAUGAAAGAUCUGUGCCAGCAGGCUGAGGGAUCUACACUGGAGCCAGGAAGUGAUGCUCAAAGUAAGAACCAGAACUCCCCGAAAAAGUGCCAUAGCCAUCCUCAGCAACAGCAAGGUCCUGAGCUCCUCCGACGAUGAGAAUAGCAGAGUCCAUAUCAGGAAAGCCAGAAUGACAAGCUCCUCCAGGAGAUUGAACAGUGUACCAUCUUCCCCUCUGGAGCCAGGAAAUGAUGCUCAAAGUAAGGACCAGAGCUCCCCCAAAGUGAAGGGACAGCAAGGUCUUGAGCUCCUCCAAGGAUAAGAACAGCCGAGUUCAUCAGGAAAGCCAGCAUGACAAGCUCCUCCAGGAAAACCAACAGCUCCCUACACCUUCUCUAACAGCUUCUCUUCUCCUUCUCCAGUUCUUUUGAAUUUGUUGGCAACAAUUCUCAGGUGGGCAUCUGACACCCAGUACUAUGCUGGUUCAGUUCAGCUGGGUGUUGCAAGUUGACUACCAGUUGUCAAUCCACCACAAAGCCCCAACUGUAGUCUCACCCAAAAACCUAUUGUGUUUGCUCCUAUUGAUAGUUGAAAAAACUGAGCUUCAAACAUGAAAGUGCCUCUUCCAAGAUCAAACUGCUUCUGAGACAGGAAACUGGAAAGUGAAACUAGGUCUUCUAACUCCAAAUGCUCCUUGUGUGUUUGCACUACAUUGUGCUGCUUAUGACUGGAGUUCAGACUCCAUGUGCUUCAGAGCAAAAUUCUUUACUACCUGCGGCAACAACAAGGUUCAGUGGUGCUGGCAGCUGCAAUCACAGACAUCGGAUCAAAUAUUUUCAGCCCUUGCUUGAAUAUUUUUUCUUACUUAACUUUUUGUAAUGGAUAACAUGUGAACAUGAUAAAAAUUGUAGAAAGUACAACCUUUUCCUCUCUCCUUUAUCCUAUAGUGUAUGCAUUCAUGUGUUACACACACCUGUAUGGCGUGAUACUGCAUGUUCUGUUCAGUAGUUUGAUUUUUUUCACAUAGCAGUGUAACUUGGAGCCCAUUCAACCCACCUAGAGCUCCUCACUCCUGCUUGUGACUGCAGAUUGUUUCAGUGUAUCUGGGUGCUGUUGCCUAUUUAGUCCUCAACUUUAAUUUAUAUCUGAUUGCUUUAUAGUACCAAAUAAAUAUUG
ensembl:lincRNA